GUCCUUUUGAGAAUAAUUUAAGGUUGGGCCUGCUCAAUGACGAAGUUAAAUAGCUGCAGUAUUUUGACUGUACUAAGGUAGCAUAAUCAUUAGUUUUUUAAUUGAAAGCUGGAAUGAAAGGUUUGAUGAAAAAAUAGCUGUCUCUUUAAUAAAUGUAGAAAUUUAUUUUUAAGUAAAAAAGCUUAAAUAUGUUCAAAAGACGAGAAGACCCUAUAGAGUUUAAUAAUUUACUGAUUUUAUUAACUAGGCUAGAAAUUUAAAUUGAUCAAUAAAAAUUAUUUGAUUGGGGUGAUUGUAAAAUUAAAAUAACUUUUACUUUAAAGUACUUUGAUUUAAGGUUGGUAUGAUCCAUAUUUGAUGAUUAUAAGAAUAAAUUACCUUAGGGAUAACAGCGUAAUCUUUUUUUAGAGCUCUAAUCGAUAAAAAGGAUUGCGA
rnacentral:rRNA from 1 species